GCCGCUAUAGCUCAGUUGGUAGAGCGCCUGCCUUGUAAACAGGAUGUCCAGAGUUCAAUUCUUUGUGGCGGCA
rnacentral:tRNA from 1 species